UACGUAGGCAGCGAGCGUUGUUCGGAGUUACUGGGCGUAAAGAGUGCGUAGGCGGUUUUCUAAGUUUGGUGUGAAAUCUCCCGGCUCAACUGGGAGGGUGCGCCGAAGACUGGAAGGCUUGAGUAUGGGAGAGGUAAGCGGGAAUUCCGGUGUGAGCGGUGAAAUGCGUAGAUAUCAGGAGGAACACCUGCGGUGUAGACGGCUUACUGGACCAUAACUGACGCUGAGGCACGAAAAGCGUGGGGGAGCAAACAGG
rnacentral:rRNA from 1 species